GAUGAACGCUAGCGGGAGGCCUAACACAUGCAAGCCGAGCGGUAUUGUUUCUUCGGAAAUGAGAGAGCGGCGUACGGGUGCGUAACACGUGUGCAACCUGCCUUUAUCUGGGGGAUAGCCUUUCGAAAGGAAGAUUAAUACUCCAUAAUAUAUUGAACGGCAUCGUUUAAUAUUGAAAGCUCCGGCGGAUAGAGAUGGGCACGCGCAAGAUUAGCUAGUUGGUGAGGUAACGGCUCACCAAGGCGAUGAUCUUUAGGGGGCCUGAGAGGGUGAUCCCCCACACUGGUACUGAGACACGGACCAGACUCCUACGGGAGGCAGCAGUGAGGAAUAUUGGUCAAUGGGUGCAAGCCUGAACCAGCCAUCCCGCGUGAAGGACGACUGCCCUAUGGGUUGUAAACUUCUUUUGUAUAGGGAUAAACCUACCCUCGUGAGUGUAGCUGAAGGUACUAUACGAAUAAGCACCGGCCAACCCCGUGCCAGCAGCCGCCGUAA
rnacentral:rRNA from 1 species